rnacentral:lncRNA from 1 species
UGGCCGUCAUACCUCUGAGGCACUGCUACAUAACCGAAGAGCUUACAGAACGCAGAUGAAAACCACUGGUCUAGAGCCAAUGUAGAGGUCAGGUGACUCCUCUCCUCACGCAUCAGGCAGUAGCUACACGUUCUGCCAGCAAAACUCAUUCAACCAGACUAUCUAACAUUCUAGACAAAUUCGGCUACCCGCUCAAAUUGCCAGAAUAGCUCCUGAGUGGUCCUCAAGCAUUUAGGAACUUUCUUUUACAAUCCUGUACAUCAUUGCAAGGAUCAUUGUGGUAAGAACCCAUAAAGUUACUGGAGAAGGGUGUGUCUCUCAUAUCUGAGUACUUCACAGAAAUAUGCAUAUUUAAGACUCAAGGAUUUGCCAGUUUUAUCUCCAAGACUGAUGACUUCAAACAAGAACACCCCAGAACAUACUGGAACAUUUUGACCUGAUGACGAUUCCUCUUAUACAAGAUCCGUUGCACCCUUCUUUGAUAAGUGAGAGUGCUGGUUUAUCCAUGGUUUAUCC